UUGACCUCAAAUCCAGGAAGAAUACCCGCUGAACCUAAACAUAACAAUAACCGGA
rnacentral:rRNA from 1 species